UAACCUGCCCAAGAGAUCGGGAUAACACCUGGAAACAGAUGCUAAUACCGGAUAACAACAUAUGAUGCCUAUCAACUGUUUAAAAGAUGGUUCUGCUAUCACUCUUGGAUGGACCUGCGGUGCAUUAGCUAGUUGGUAGGGUAACGGCCUACCAAGGCGAUGAUGCAUAGCCGAGUUGAGAGACUGAUCGGCCACAUUGGGACUGAGACACGGCCCAAACUCCUACGGGAGGCAGCAGAC
rnacentral:rRNA from 1 species